rnacentral:rRNA from 1 species
ACCCGUUGAUCCUGCGGGAGGUUGCUGCUAUGAGGAUUCGAUUAAGCCAUGCAAGUCCAGGGGGUUCUUCGGAACCACCGGCGAAUCGCUUAGUAACACGUCAAUAAUCUGCCCUUAGGUAAGGGAUAACCUUGGGAAACUGAGGGUAAUACCUUAUAGGGAAUUCCUACUGAAUGUGGUUUUCCUUAAAGACUACGCCUAAGGAUGAGUUGGCGGCGGAUUAGCUUGUUGGCGAGGUAAUGGCUCACCAAGGCUUCGAUCCGUAGGGGCCGUGAGAGCGGUAGCCCCAAGAAGGACACUGAGACACUGGUCCUAGCCCUACGGGGUGCAGCAGGCGCGAAACCUUUACAAUGCACGAAAGUGUGAUAAGGGGAUCCUCAGUGCUAAUGUUCUGCAUUAGCUUUUGCCAAGGGUAAAAACCUUGGAGAAUAAGUGGUGGGAAAGACUGGUGCCAGCCGCCGCGGUAACACCAGCGCCACAAGUGGCAACCAUGAUUAUUGGGCCUAAAGCGUCCGUAGCUGGUUUUGUAAAUCCUUUGUGAAAUCGAUGCGCCUAACGUAUCGGCGAGCAGAGGACACUGCAAGACUUGAGACCGGGAAGGGUUAGGGGUAUUCUGGGGGAACCGGUAAAAUGGGAUAAUCCUCGGAGGACCACCUGUGGCGAAGGCGCCUAACCAGAACGGAUCUGACAGUGAGGGACGAAGGCCAGGGGAGCGAACCGGAUUAGAUACCCGAGUAGUCCUGGCAGUAAACGCUGCGAGCUAGGUGUUGCACCUUCUACUGGAAUGUGCAGUGUCGAAGCGAAGGCGAUAAGCUCGCCGCCCGGGAAGUACGGUCGCAAGACUGAAACUUAAAGGAAUUGGCGGGGGAGCACCACAAGGGGUGCGGCGUGCGGUUUAAUCCAACUUUACACGGAGAAUCUCACCAGAUGCGACGGCAGGAUGAAGGUCAGUCUGAAGGGCUUACCCAACGAGCCGAGAGGAGGUGCAUGGCCGUCGUCAGCUCGUGCCGCAAGGUGUCCUCUUAAGUGAGGCAACGAGCGAGACCUGCGUCUACAAUUGCUAGCAGCUAAGCUUGCUUAGGACUGAGCACAUUGUGGAGACUGCCCUGGAAACAGGGAGGAAGGUGCAGGCCACGAUAGGUCUGUAUGCCCCGAAUCUUCUGGGCUACACGCGCGCAACAAUGGCACGGACAAUGGGAUGCAACCCCGAGAGGGGAAGCUAAACCUCUAAACCAUAUCUAAGUCCAGAUCGAGGGCUGUAACUCGCCCUCGUGACGCUGGAAUCCCUAGUAAUCGGGUGUCAACAUCGCCCGGUGAAUAUGUCCCUGCUCCUUGUUCACACCGCCCGUCAAACCAACCGAGCAGGGUUUAGGUGAGUCCUAGUUAUUUUGACUAGUCCGAAUCUAAGCUCAGUGAGGUGGGUUAAGUCGUCACAAGGUA